AGAAUCAACGCUGGCGGCGUGCCUCAGACAUGCAAGUCGAACGCGAAAGUCCCCUUCGGGGGAUGAGUAGAGUGGCGCACGGGUGAGUAACACGUAGGUAAUCUACCUUCGGGUGGGGAAUAACCCAGGGAACUUGGGCUAACACCGCAUAAUGCAGCGGCACCACAUGGUGACAGUUGUUAAAGGCGGGGGUAUUUUUAGGACCUCGCGCCUGAAGAGGAGCCUGCGGCAGAUUAGCUAGUUAGGUAAGGUAACGGCUUAACCGAAGGCGAACGAUCGUAGUAACCGGCCUGGAGGCGGGCGGUCGGUACGAACGAC
rnacentral:rRNA from 1 species